GACGAACGCUGGCGGCGUGCUUAACACAUGCAAGUCGAACGGAAAGGCCCUGCUUUUGUGGGGUGCUCGAGUGGCGAACGGGUGAGUAACACGUGAGUAACCUGCCCUUGACUUUGGGAUAACUUCAGGAAACUGGGGCUAAUACCGGAUAGGAGCUCCUGCUGCAUGGUGGGGGUUGGAAAGUUUCGGCGGUUGGGGAUGGACUCGCGGCUUAUCAGCUUGUUGGUGGGGUAGUGGCUUACCAAGGCUUUGACGGGUAGCCGGCCUGAGAGGGUGACCGGCCAAAUUGGAACUGGGAUACGGCCCAGACUCCUACGGGAGGCAGCAGGGGGGAAUAUUGCACAAUGGGCGGAAGCCUGAGGCAGCAACGCCGCGUGGGGGAUGACGGCCUUCGGGUUGUAAACCGCUUUCGCCUGUGACGAAGCGUGAGUGACGGUAAGGGGUAAAGAAGCACCGGCUAACUAC
rnacentral:rRNA from 1 species